GUACACUCCUGCGGGAGGCAGCAGUGGGGAAUUUUGGACAAUGGGCGAAAGCCUGAUCCAGCAAUGCCGCGUGAGUGAAGAAGGCCUUCGGGUUGUAAAGCUCUUUUGUCAGGGAAGAAACGGUGAAAGCUAAUAUCUUUUGCUAAUGACGGUACCUGAAGAAUAAGCACCGGCUAACUACGUGCCAGCAGCCGCGGUAAUACGUAGGGUGCAAGCGUUAAUCGGAAUUACUGGGCGUAAAGCGUGCGCAGGCGGUUUUGUAAGUCUGAUGUGAAAUCCCCGGGCUCAACCUGGGAAUUGCAUUGGAGACUGCAAGGCUAGAAUCUGGCAGAGGGGGGUAGAAGUCCACGUGUAGCAGUGAAAUGCGUAGAUAUGUGGAGGAACACCGAUGGCGAAGGCAGCCCCCUGGGUCAAGAUUGACGCUCAUGCACGAAAGCGUGGGGAGCAAACAGGAUUAGAAACCCCUGUAGUCCCAUGAU
rnacentral:rRNA from 1 species